rnacentral:rRNA from 1 species
UACAGAGGUCUCAAGCGUUGUUCGGAUUCAUUGGGCGUAAAGGGUGUGUAGGUGGCGCCGUUAGUCGGGUGUGAAAUUUCGGAGCUUAACUCCGAAACUGCAUUCGAUACUGCGGUGCUUGAGGACUGGAGAGGAGACUGGAAUUCAUGGUGUAGCAGUGAAAUGCGUAGAGAUCAUGAGGAAGACCAGUGGCGAAGGCGGGUCUCUGGACAGUUCCG